CAAGCAUGUACUGUCUGCCAUUCCUAUACACUUGUUAUCCAUUUGUCAUCCUCCUAAAACUGUGCUUAAGAUGUUGGAAAGAUUCUUCGCUAAUUUCUUCUGGGGUCAAAAGGAUGGAAGCAAGAAAUAUCACUGGGCCUCUUGGAGAAAGUUAUGUUAUCCUACUGAAGGAGGAGGAGUGGGUUUUAAAAAUUUGAGUGACACCACCAAGGCCUUCACAGCCAAAAUCUGGUGGCUUUUCAGAACUAAUAAAUUUCCACCAUUCUUAUUGACUAAGUAUUGCAGCAGAACUCAUCCUGUUCCCAGGAAAAGAAACUCAAAGCAAUCCAGCCCAUUUAACAUGGAGGAUAAAUUCUUCAUUUAACAGAAGUAGAACCACAUAUAACAUGGAGGAUCCAAGGAGGAAAUUCUUCUUUCUACUGGGACAACUGGACAGGUUUGGAUCCUUUAUCCAACUUUUGCAGCUGUUCCAUUUAUAAUAAGGAUAAGGUAUGUAACUUUAUUGUUAAUAAUUCCAGGAAUAUUCCUAAAUUGUCUCAAGCUAUUCUAGGCUACUUGGUUGAACAUAUUAGAGGUAUCAAAAUAGGUAACUCAAAUGUACAAGACCAAGCAAUAUGGACUGGCUCAACUAAUGGUCAGCUCAUAUGCUUCUCAGCCUGGAAUAGCCUGAGACAAAGACAAGGGAUUUCUUUUGUGAAUAAGUUCUUAUGGCAUAACGCUAUUCCUUUCAAAAUCUCUAUUUUCGAUUGAAAACUUUUGAGAGACAAACUACCCACAAAUGAUAAUAUCAGAAAGAUGGAAAUUCAUUUUCCAUCAAAAUGUGCUUGUUGCAUGAAACCAAUGAAUGAAGAUAAGCAUCAUAUUUUCAUUGAUAGCAACAUCAGCAAAGCAGUCUGGAAAUGCUUCAGAGACCAAUUUGGACUAUGAUGGUGAUAUUAGGCACCAGAUGAUGGUUUGGUGGUUCUCUGAAUAUCAGAACCCAAUCCAUAAACUCCUUCAAGCAGCCCCUUUGGUCAUCAGUUGGAAUAUCUGGAAAGAGAAAAAUAAGAGUAAAUAUGAUCAACAAAGGUUCUUUGUUCCUAAAAUUGUACACCAAAUUUGUCAUGAUGUUACACUGAUUAUCCAUAAGCAGUUCAGGCAGGUUGACUUAGCAAUUCCAUGGGCACAAUUGACUCAGAUGAUUGUGAAAUCUAGAUCACAGUUGACUAUUAUCAAAGUCUUAUGGAAAUUUCCUCUAGAAAGGACCAUUAAAUUAAAAAGUGAAGGAUGUUCUAGAGGUAAUCCCGGUAUUAGUGGUGGAGGAGGGGUCAUUAGAAGGCACACUGGAGAAAUGGUAGGAGCAUUUGCAGCAUCUUUUGGUACCCAGAGUAAUAAUGCAGCUGAAUCUAUGGCUCUAAAUAUGGGGCUGCAAUGGUGCAUAGAUCAGGGACUCAAAAAUAUUAUUAUGGAAUUGGAUUCACUCUUAGUUAUUAACUGGAUGCUUGAAAAGUUUAAUCCUCCUUGGAGUUUGCUGACUACUAUUGAAGAAGCUAAGAGGAAGACUAAUUUCUUUAAUGAAAUAUAAGUCAUGCACUGCUUCAGGAAAGGAAACAAAGUGGCGGAUGCAUUAACUAAUGAAGGAGCUGAGAUAAAUGGUGUUAAAUGGUUUUACUCUACUCAAGAACUUCCAUCUCAGGCCAGGGGACACUUAUAUACAUGGACAAUGAUCAACUCCCUAAUUUUAGAAUAAGAUACUCCAAAAAGCUAUUUUGUAUAUGAUCCACCUGAUAACAGUGAUGUUACUUUUUGUGCUUUGGUUAAUCACUGCAGUUGUGAAUAAGGAAAAUGGUCCUUUCCAAAUGAUAGUAUCUUCGUUGUAUAUCCUUCUUCAUGAGUCCAGGAAUAUGCCUUUAUUUUCUUUUAUUUUUGUGGAGGUUAGGUUUUAUGUCACCCUCCUUAAUGUGUUUACUUCUGGAUUUUAAUUUUCAAGGUAGGGUCCAUGCCAAACCCCCCGUCACCUAAAGACGGAUUUGAGAAAAAAAGAAAGAAAAGAAGACGGGACAACACCGAAAAACCAUGUAAAAGCAAUACACAACAAGAAAAAUGGUAUUAUAUGAAGAAAUUGGUAAAUGACUUGUUUUAAUAAGUUUUAGCCAAUAUUUCAAAACUAUUCAAAUUUAGUCACUUUAUUGCGAAAAUAAUUUUUUAACAAAAAUAUCCUUAGCUAAAGCAGAAAAUUUAUCAAACUGAACAUUUAUCACAAAUUGUUCCUGAUGCUCAUUCAACACGACAGAUAAAGCAGAACAAGUUAUGACAUAAGGGGAAAUGGGACCAAGAAGCAGAAUAUCUCUGCAUCUCAGGCCUGUAACCGUCAAUACAGCAAUUAAGAAAGAAGAAGAAUACGGGCAUGUCAUUUAGUCAACUAAAAUAUGACAAGAUUUUGUCAAAUCCAAGACAUCUGUGACAUUUCUUGUAAUUAAGAACUGCUAGGACUCCUCAAAAGAUGCAGUAACCUUUUCAGCACCAAUGGGCUGUUUUGGAGAUCUAGAGCCCGUUUGGACAUAAAAAAAAAUUUAAAUUUUUUUCGAAAUCAGUGUUUGGUCAUAAAUUUUUUAAUUUUUAGGUGCAUUACUCUGCUGUACUCAAGAUGAAAUCAUUAAUUGGGAUGCCCAAUUUCAGCAUUUCUCGAAAAAGGGAAAAACAGCAGAGUAAUGCUUCAUAUUUACCAUAGUCUUUAAUAAUUUAGAGAAGCUAAAAACCGAAGGAAGAGGCUGCGGCACUGACCAUUCGAUGGAAGAGACUCGUAGCAUCGUCUAAAUACUUGACAUUCUCAAUAUGGCUAUGAAAUGAAGAAUAAUAUCUAGUCGCCGAAGCAGAAGGUGAAAUAGCAGAAAAAGAGAUAAAGGGAAUAAUACCGUUGCAAGAGUAACGCAGCAAAGAAAUUCCCGUUAUCUGAUUGCAAUUGCCGAAGAGAAAUUCAGUUUGCGAUCUCUGUGUGCCCUAAUUGAAGAAAAAGCUGAAAUGCGACUGUCCAGUUAAUUGUUA
rnacentral:lncRNA from 1 species